UUAAGCGACUAAGCGUACACGGUGGAUGCCCUGGCAGUCAGAGGCGAUGAAGGACGUGCUAAUCUGCGAUAAGCGUCGGUGAGGUGAUAUGAACCGUUAUAACCGGCGAUUUCCGAAUGGGGAAACCCAGUGUGUUUCGACACACUAUCAUUAACUGAAUCCAUAGGUUAAUGAGGCGAACCGGGGGAACUGAAACAUCUAAGUACCCCGAGGAAAAGAAAUCAACCGAGAUUCCCCCAGUAGCGGCGAGCGAACGGGGAGGAGCCCAGAGCCUGAAUCAGUGUGUGUGUUAGUGGAAGCGUCUGGAAAGGCGUGCGAUACAGGGUGACAGCCCCGUACACAAAAAUGCACAUAUUGUGAGCUCGAUGAGUAGGGCGGGACACGUGGUAUCUUGUCUGAAUAUGGGGGGACCAUCCUCCAAGGCUAAAUACUCCUGACUGACCGAUAGUGAACCAGUACCGUGAGGGAAAGGCGAAAAGAACCCCGGCGAGGGGAGUGAAAAAGAACCUGAAACCGUGUACGUACAAGCAGUGGGAGCCUCUUAAUGGGGUGACUGCGUACCUUUUGUAUAAUGGGUCAGCGACUUAUAUUCUGUAGCAAGGUUAACCGAAUAGGGGAGCCGAAGGGAAACCGAGUCUUAACUGGGCGUUAAGUUGCAGGGUAUAGACCCGAAACCCGGUGAUCUAGCCAUGGGCAGGUUGAAGGUUGGGUAACACUAACUGGAGGACCGAACCGACUAAUGUUGAAAAAUUAGCGGAUGACUUGUGGCUGGGGGUGAAAGGCCAAUCAAACCGGGAGAUAGCUGGUUCUCCCCGAAAGCUAUUUAGGUAGCGCCUCGUGAAUUCAUCUCCGGGGGUAGAGCACUGUUUCGGCAAGGGGGUCAUCCCGACUUACCAACCCGAUGCAAACUGCGAAUACCGGAGAAUGUUAUCACGGGAGACACACGGCGGGUGCUAACGUCCGUCGUGAAGAGGGAAACAACCCAGACCGCCAGCUAAGGUCCCAAAGUCAUGGUUAAGUGGGAAACGAUGUGGGAAGGCCCAGACAGCCAGGAUGUUGGCUUAGAAGCAGCCAUCAUUUAAAGAAAGCGUAAUAGCUCACUGGUCGAGUCGGCCUGCGCGGAAGAUGUAACGGGGCUAAACCAUGCACCGAAGCUGCGGCAGCGACACUAUGUGUUGUUGGGUAGGGGAGCGUUCUGUAAGCCUGUGAAGGUGGCCUGUGAGGGUUGCUGGAGGUAUCAGAAGUGCGAAUGCUGACAUAAGUAACGAUAAAGCGGGUGAAAAGCCCGCUCGCCGGAAGACCAAGGGUUCCUGUCCAACGUUAAUCGGGGCAGGGUGAGUCGACCCCUAAGGCGAGGCCGAAAGGCGUAGUCGAUGGGAAACAGGUUAAUAUUCCUGUACUUGGUGUUACUGCGAAGGGGGGACGGAGAAGGCUAUGUUGGCCGGGCGACGGUUGUCCCGGUUUAAGCGUGUAGGCUGGUUUUCCAGGCAAAUCCGGAAAACCAAGGCUGAGGCGUGAUGACGAAGCACUACGGUGCUGAAGCGACAAAUGCCCUGCUUCCAGGAAAAGCCUCUAAGCAUCAGGUAACAUCAAAUCGUACCCCAAACCGACACAGGUGGUCAGGUAGAGAAUACCAAGGCGCUUGAGAGAACUCGGGUGAAGGAACUAGGCAAAAUGGUGCCGUAACUUCGGGAGAAGGCACGCUGAUAUGUAGGUGAAGCGACUUGCUCGUGGAGCUGAAAUCAGUCGAAGAUACCAGCUGGCUGCAACUGUUUAUUAAAAACACAGCACUGUGCAAACACGAAAGUGGACGUAUACGGUGUGACGCCUGCCCGGUGCCGGAAGGUUAAUUGAUGGGGUUAGCGGUAACGCGAAGCUCUUGAUCGAAGCCCCGGUAAACGGCGGCCGUAACUAUAACGGUCCUAAGGUAGCGAAAUUCCUUGUCGGGUAAGUUCCGACCUGCACGAAUGGCGUAAUGAUGGCCAGGCUGUCUCCACCCGAGACUCAGUGAAAUUGAACUCGCUGUGAAGAUGCAGUGUACCCGCGGCAAGACGGAAAGACCCCGUGAACCUUUACUAUAGCUUGACACUGAACAUUGAGCCUUGAUGUGUAGGAUAGGUGGGAGGCUUUGAAGUGUGGACGCCAGUCUGCAUGGAGCCGACCUUGAAAUACCACCCUUUAAUGUUUGAUGUUCUAACGUUGGCCCGUAAUCCGGGUUGCGGACAGUGUCUGGUGGGUAGUUUGACUGGGGCGGUCUCCUCCUAAAGAGUAACGGAGGAGCACGAAGGUUGGCUAAUCCUGGUCGGACAUCAGGAGGUUAGUGCAAUGGCAUAAGCCAGCUUGACUGCGAGCGUGACGGCGCGAGCAGGUGCGAAAGCAGGUCAUAGUGAUCCGGUGGUUCUGAAUGGAAGGGCCAUCGCUCAACGGAUAAAAGGUACUCCGGGGAUAACAGGCUGAUACCGCCCAAGAGUUCAUAUCGACGGCGGUGUUUGGCACCUCGAUGUCGGCUCAUCACAUCCUGGGGCUGAAGUAGGUCCCAAGGGUAUGGCUGUUCGCCAUUUAAAGUGGUACGCGAGCUGGGUUUAGAACGUCGUGAGACAGUUCGGUCCCUAUCUGCCGUGGGCGCUGGAGAACUGAGGGGGGCUGCUCCUAGUACGAGAGGACCGGAGUGGACGCAUCACUGGUGUUCGGGUUGUCAUGCCAAUGGCACUGCCCGGUAGCUAAAUGCGGAAGAGAUAAGUGCUGAAAGCAUCUAAGCACGAAACUUGCCCCGAGAUGAGUUCUCCCUGAGACUUAGAGUCUCCUGAAGGAACGUUGAAGACGACGACGUUGAUAGGCCGGGUGUGUAAGCGCAGCGAUGCGUUGAGCUAACCGGUACUAAUGAACCGUGAGGCUUAACCUU
rnacentral:rRNA from 3 species